UACUAGAGUAGCACUCGCAUAUCAAUAAGCGGAGGAAAAGAAACUAACAAGGAUUCCCCUAGUGACGGCGAGUGAAGCGGGAAGAGCUCAAAUUUGAAAUCUUAAAGGGUUUCCCUUUACGAAUUGUAGUUUAAAGAAGUGUUUUCUGUUGAGGUUUUGGUAAAAGUUCUUUGGAAUAGGACAUCAUAGAGGGUGAGAAUCCCGUAUUUGACCUUUACUUUCAACUUUGUGAUACACUUUCAAAGAGUCGGAUUGUUUGGGAAUGCAGUCCAAAAUGGGUGGUAAAUUUCAUCUAAAGCUAAAUAUUGGCGAGAGACCGAUAGCGAACAAGUACCGUGAGGGAAAGAUGAAAAGAACUUUGAAAAGAGAGUUAAACAGUACGUGAAAUUGUCAAAAGGGAAGCGUUUGACACCAGUGUUGUUUUUCUGAAAAUCAAUUAAAGAACUGUUUAUGCUAAGCUGUUUAGACUUUAUCAGCUAUCUGCUUAGUUUUGAGCUUUUCUUUAAUGCACUUUUCAGUUAACAAGUCAACAUCAACUUCUUUUGCUGUAAAAAAGCUUGAGGAAGGUGGCUUGAGAUUCGUCUUAAGUGUUUAUAGCCUCUUGCCUAUGCAGUCGGAGAGAUUGAGGUCUGCAGCGUAGAUCCUUCGGGGCUAAAUGCAUUUGUGCUAAGUUAUAGCAUUUUAUAGACAACUUGUUGACUAUGAUUUGUCUUGUAGCUUACUCGCUUAUGUUAUUUUACCUACGCUUAGGAUGUUGAACUCUAUCACACACAG
rnacentral:rRNA from 1 species